rnacentral:lncRNA from 1 species
CGGACCUUCUGCCCUGAGGGUGAACUGCGGGCUGGUAUUUCCGCAGCCCAGGGUCCCCACCCCGCCUCGCCUCUCCCCAGGCCGGUGCCGCCCAGCUCCCUGGGCACAUCACGACCCUUUCACGCUGUCAGGGCCAGUGCCCGUAGCGGGCCGCGAAGUGGAGCAUAAGGUGAAGAUUCGGGAGGGGAGCUGUGGCUCCGGGGACAGCGCGGGGCGGGGAGGGGGAGGGGGACGGCGCCGGGUGUGCGGGCGGACGCGGGCUCGCGGUCCCGCCAACGCCUGCGUUGGGAUCUUGGGGACCGCGAGGGGAGAGAGGACGAAAAUCCUGUUGGGGAGGAAGGACGCACUCGCAGGCUUGUCUCCUGCCUGCUCCCUGGCGAUCUAGGCUCUAGCCCUUCGGCUCCGCUGCCCGCGGCAGCUCUGGACUCAUCCAGUCUGUCCAGCCUCAAGAAGACGAGCCCAAGGGUCAAAGAUGACCCUCGACCCUCGCUCUCUUCCCGCAACUCGGAUGCGACGUGCCUUGCGCGCCGGGGUUCUUGCCCAAGAACGGAGGCGCCCGGGCGCCCCUGCGCGGAACCACCGGGACCGGGCCUAGGGUCCAGAGCCGGGGCCUCGUGCUCGGUGCCGUGCAGAACGCGGCCGGGCCUGGUCCCAGCGCCGAGCACCACGCGCCCAGGGGCCUGCGGAGCCACCGCGACGCCCGGGACGCGCCAGCGCGGCCGGAGGAGAGAGCUCGGCAGGUAA